UUCGCAAUGCCCGAAAGGGUGAACGAGCGACGCCGCGUGCGGGAUGAAGGGUUUCGGCUUGUAAACCGCUUUUCUUUGGGAAGAAGGUCUGUCUCGUGCAGAUGGGCUCGACGGUACCAGAGGAAUAAGCCUCGGCUAACUCCGUGCCAGCAGCCGCGGUAAGACGGAGGAGGCGAGCGUUGUUCGGAAUUAUUGGGCGUAAAGGGCGCGUAGGCGGACGGGAACGUCGGUCCUUGAAAGCCCCCGGCUCAACCGGGGAAGUGGAGCCGAAACGACCGGUCUGGAGGGACGUAGGGGGACCUGGAACUUCCGGUGGAGCGGUGAAAUGCGUUGAGAUCGGAAGGAACGCCCGUGGCGAAAGCGAGGUCCUGGACGUCUGCUGACGCUGAGACGCGAAAGCUAGGGGAGCAAACGGGAUUAGAUACCCCGGUAGUCCUAGCCGUAAACGAUGGGCACUAAGUAGAGGGGUUUU
rnacentral:rRNA from 1 species